UACGUAGGGUGCAAGCGUUAAUCGGAAUUACUGGGCGUAAAGCGUGCGCAGGCGGUUUUGUAAGUCUGUCGUGAAAUCCCCGGGCUCAACCUGGGAAUGGCGAUGGAGACUGCAAGGCUAGAGUUUGGCAGAGGGGGGUAGAAUUCCACGUGUAGCAGUGAAAUGCGUAGAUAUGUGGAGGAACACCGAUGGCGAAGGCAGCCCCCUGGGUCAAAACUGACGCUCAUGCACGAAAGCGUGGGGAGCGAAACAGG
rnacentral:rRNA from 1 species